CCAGGUUUUGAUCCUGGCAUUCCCAGGUUCGAAUCCUGGUACCCCAGCCA
rnacentral:tRNA from 1 species